CAGUCGCCGCGGUAAUACGAAGGGGGCUAGCGUUGUUCGGAAUUACUGGGCGUAAAGCGCACGUAGGCGGAUAUUUAAGUCAGGGGUGAAAUCCCGCAGCUCAACUGCGGAACUGCCUUUGAUACUGGGUAUCUUGAGUAUGGAAGAGGUUAGUGGAAUUGCGAGUGUAGAGGUGAAAUUCGUAGAUAUUCGCAGGAACACCAGUGGCGAAGGCGGCUAACUGGUCCAUAACUGACGCUGAGGUGCGAAAGCGUGGGGAGCAAACAGGAUUAGAUACCCGAGUAGUCCCUGUCUCUUAUAC
rnacentral:rRNA from 1 species